GACGAACGCUGGCGGCGUGCCUAAUACAUGCAAGUCGAACGCAGUUGCGAACGGGUGAGUAACGCGUCGGUAACUGCCUGGUAGCGGGGGAUAACUAUUGGAAACGAUAGCUAAUACCGCAUACUACCAGAUGGACCUGCGUUGUAUUAGCUAGUUGGUGAGGUAACGGCUCACCAAGGCAACGAUACAUAGCCGGCCUGGGAGGGGGAUCGGCCACACUGGGACUGGGACACGGGCCAGACUCCUUCGGGAGGCAGCAGUAGGGGAACAUCGGAAAUGGGGGGAAACCUGGACGAGCAACGGCGCGGGAGUGAAGAAGGGUUUCGGAUCGUAAAGCUCUGUUGUUAAGGAAGCGGUACUUAACCAGAAAGGGACGGCUAACUACGUGCCAGCAGCCGCGGUAAUUC
rnacentral:rRNA from 1 species